CUGCAGGGUGGAAGUCGCUCCAUGAAAAUGAAGCAUUUGUGGAGUUACGCUGCCCAUUUCCAAAUCCCUGGAAAUCCUCUCAAGCCGGUGGGUUGAGGCUCUUCUCUCCGUGUAAAUUUGCGCAGUAGAAAUUAACGGCUUGUUUGCUGAUCAGUCCACAGCAGGAAAACAAAAACAGACAAACCAAAACAAAUCAACACCUUUAAGAAAGAAUAAAUUCGAGCAAUUGGACCGUGGGCUCAAACGUGAUGUGCAUUUAUAAUUUGGAUAAUGUCAAAUGCCCUUCAUAGAGAUAUAAGCUCAUGAUCUCACACAAGGUCUGUGUUUGCAUAUUUCACACGCCCAUCCUCUGAUGGUUCUCAGCCUGUUAGCCCGCAUAUCCAUUCCUAGACUUUCCGACUCUUGCUCCGUGGGGGUUUCAUUUCCCGGACCCCCCUAUCAACUGGCCGAUGGGACUCAGCAGUAGGAGAAUAAGAGGGAGAAGGGGAGAAGCCAGGGUAUUUCCCAUUCUUUUUUUUUUCUGCCUGGGUGGUGGGAAUAGAAGGGUGUAUAGGGCAGCAGCUGCUCCUCCUGGGUGAUCCCAAGUCUGGUAGGACAGGCUCCCUCUGUGCCCAGCUCUCUGGGUUCUGGCAACACCUCCCGCCUCUUGUCCCCUGGGCCUGGAAGUAACAGGAUAUCCUACGGUUGCUAAACUUUGGUGGUCUCACUGUUUCCUGGGAGUCUUUCAGCCGCUCACAUCCUCUGUGCAACCAACUUUAUGUUUUAAAUUCCCCCCAUUUUAAAUAUUCCAAAUGGUUUCUGUUUUUCUAGUUGUACCUGACGGAUCCUUUUCUGAUUCACUGACACACUCCUUCACACGAUCCAGUGAAGACUUCACCUUUUUCAGCUGGAUGCCAGGCCAACAGGAUAAAUGUUUGAACGUAGAAUGUCAAAGGACACUCAGAAUCAAAGUCCUAACAUCUUACCUAAGUUAUAAACACUUUAAAAGAAGGACAAACAAAUGCAGAAUUGUUACGUGAGUUGAGCAAAGUCACAAAUAAGGCAGGAAGAAAGUACAGAUGGAAAUCCAGAGACAGAGGAAUGAAGAAGAGCCCCAGUUUCCUAUUGGUGGGUAGUCCUUGGGUUCGAAACAGGCCCCCCUUUCAUUCUUCACCAGAGCUAAUACUGACUGCUUUUUAAUGUUCCCUGUGAAAGGUCUGGCAUCUGAAGAUGAUUUUGGGUAACAGGGUGCCUGGAACGAGAUGACCUAACAUACCAUGUUCUCAAUUCCCCCAUCCUGAGCAAUCAGCCAGUAAAAAGCUGUUGAGUCCAGCCAUAGCAUCACCUCAUGACUCACAGGCGGUGCUUGUUUUUCCAUUUCUGCAUGAUCGUGCCCACUGUAAGGGUUUUGUUUUUUGUUUUUUUUUCUGGAGACGGAGUUUCGCUCUUGUUACCCAGGCUGGAGUGCAAUGGUGCAAUCUCGGCUCACCGCAACCUCCGCCUCCUGGGUUCAGGCCAUUUUCUGCCUCACCCUCCUGAGUAGCUGGGAUUACAGGCACACGCCACCACGCCCAGCUAAUUUUUUGUAUUUUUAGUAGAAACGGGAUUUCACCAUGCCAACCAGGAUGGUCUCAAUCUCUUGACCUCAUGAUCCACCCGCCUCGGCCUCCCAAAGUGCUGGGAUUACAGGCUUGAGCCACCGCGCCCGGCCUGUAAGGGUUUUAAUGGAUUCAUCCUUUAUCAAUAAGAGCUCUUUGACAUUUGUAUGCACAAGGAACUUGUACCCCAUCUUCUUUUAAAAUUUGAAUCCGACGGUUCAUUUCUUAGCCAGAAGAUUGAUGAGUUAUACUAGCAAGAAAAGGACAUUUCUCCGGAGGAUUCUGGGUAGAAUUAAAAGAACAGUAAGCACAAGACCGAGGUACCAGUCUGAGCCCACCACUUCCUGGCUGCAUGACCUUGGGCAAGUGACUUCCCUUAGCUGAACCCAGGAUUUUUCCAAAUAUGAAAUAUGUGUUAAUCCUCUCUACCACCCCAUAAGAUUGUUAUUCAUUGAUACAAUGUAUGUGGAAUCAUUUUGCACAUGAGAUUUAUUUUAUGUUACUUAUUUUAAAACUAUCAUUUUCAACCUGGAAAAUGAAUUUAUAAAAGAAGAUUGCAUGCUAUUUUGUGAUAUUUCCAGAAUAAAAGUGGUGAAUAAAACUACCUCCUUAUUAGC
rnacentral:lncRNA from 13 species